rnacentral:pre_miRNA from 1 species
AUUCAGACAUUGGGCCUCAACAUUUAAAAGCAUGUUUUUGCUUUCUGUCUGAUAUAG